rnacentral:rRNA from 1 species
GGCUCAGGAUGAACGCUAGCUACAGGCUUAACACAUGCAAGUCGAGGGGCAGCAUCAUCAAAGCUUGCUUUGAUGGAUGGCGACCGGCGCACGGGUGAGUAACACGUAUCCAACCUGCCGACAACACUGGGAUAGCCUUUCGAAAGAAAGAUUAAUACCGGAUGGCAUAGUUUUCCCGCAUGGGAUAAUUAUUAAAGAAUUUCGGUUGUCGAUGGGGAUGCGUUCCAUUAGGCAGUUGGCGGGGUAACGGCCCACCAAACCUACGAUGGAUAGGGGUUCUGAGAGGAAGGUCCCCCACAUUGGAACUGAGACACGGUCCAAACUCCUACGGGAGGCAGCAGUGAGGAAUAUUGGUCAAUGGACGAGAGUCUGAACCAGCCAAGUAGCGUGAAGGAUGACUGCCCUAUGGGUUGUAAACUUCUUUUAUACGGGAAUAAAGUGAGCCACGUGUGGCUUUUUGUAUGUACCGUAUGAAUAAGGAUCGGCUAACUCCGUGCCAGCAGCCGCGGUAAUACGGAGGAUCCGAGCGUUAUCCGGAUUUAUUGGGUUUAAAGGGAGCGUAGGCGGGUUGUUAAGUCAGUUGUGAAAGUUUGCGGCUCAACCGUAAAAUUGCAGUUGAUACUGGCGACCUUGAGUGCAACAGAGGUAGGCGGAAUUCGUGGUGUAGCGGUGAAAUGCUUAGAUAUCACGAAGAACUCCGAUUGCGAAGGCAGCUUACUGGAUUGUAACUGACGCUGAUGCUCGAAAGUGUGGGUAUCAAACAGGAUUAGAUACCCUGGUAGUCCACACAGUAAACGAUGAAUACUCGCUGUUGGCGAUAUACAGUCAGCGGCCAAGCGAAAGCAUUAAGUAUUCCACCUGGGGAGUACGCCGGCAACGGUGAAACUCAAAGGAAUUGACGGGGGCCCGCACAAGCGGAGGAACAUGUGGUUUAAUUCGAUGAUACGCGAGGAACCUUACCCGGGCUUAAAUUGCAACUGACUGAACCGGAAACGGUUCUUUCUUCGGACAGUUGUGAAGGUGCUGCAUGGUUGUCGUCAGCUCGUGCCGUGAGGUGUCGGCUUAAGUGCCAUAACGAGCGCAACCCUUACGGGUAGUUACCAUCAGGUUAUGCUGGGGACUCUACCCGGACUGCCGUCGUAAGAUGUGAGGAAGGUGGGGAUGACGUCAAAUCAGCACGGCCCUUACGUCCGGGGCUACACACGUGUUACAAUGGGGGGUACAGAAGGCAGCUACACGGCGACGUGGUGCUAAUCCCGAAAGCCUCUCUCAGUUCGGAUUGGAGUCUGCAACCCGACUCCAUGAAGCUGGAUUCGCUAGUAAUCGCGCAUCAGCCACGGCGCGGUGAAUACGUUCCCGGGCCUUGUACACACCGCCCGUCAAGCCAUGAAAGCCGGGGGUACCUGAAGUACGUAACCGCGAGGAGCGUCCUAGGGUA